UACAGAGGGUGCGAGCGUUAAUCGGAAUUACUGGGCGUAAAGCGUGCGUAGACGGUCAAGUAAGUUGGGUGUGAAAUCCCCGGCUUAACCUGGGAAUGGCAUUUGGGACUGCAAGGCUUGAGUGCGGCAGAGGAGACUGGAAUUCCUGGUGUAGCAGUGAAAUGCGUAGAUAUGCGGAGGAACACCGAUGGCGAAGGCAAUCCCCUGGGCCUGCACUGACGCUCAUGCACGAAAGCGUGGGGAGCAA
rnacentral:rRNA from 1 species